AUUGAAGGCGCAUAAAAAAAAAAUGACAUGUUCAACAACAAGAAUUGUCAUGCAAUAGGAUUGCACGAUCUGUAGCCCUCAUACUAAAACUGCCUAAAACAGAACUUAGCAGGCAAAUCAAAAGCCUAUCAUCAUUGAGAGCUCAAGGAAGAAAUAUUAGGUAAGAGCUCAAGCAACUAGUGAAUGAGAAUAAUAUUCAAGAGUAAGGCCAAUUAGAGCAGACUAGGGCAUUUUCUUAAGAAUGUACAUGUUGAUAAGAGUGACAUCUGCCUGGAACUUAAAAUGGGAAUAAAGGCAGAAUGAAGUGGAUGGUAUUAAGAACAUGACAGUUCUUGGGUGGCACUUUUUUGUUUAAAUUUUCCUAGACAAGAGUGUUGAGGAAUGGUGCCCUGAAAGGAAAACUGGAUCUCAAAAAUGAUAUACUUUUCUCAGCAGGAUUUGGAUCACUGGAUUGGCUAUCUUUUCUAUCAUGUCGUCUCAAAACAAACAUGGUACGGGGAGGCCCCAGGUUUGAAUCCAGUUGAUGGCAUUCCUAUCAUGUUUCCUGAAAUAUUCUUCAAAAUAAUGAUUCAAUUGUCGCUAGCAUGGGUCUGCUGUGUCAUGUCAUCUAAAAACAAAGGACCUAGAAACAAACAAAAAUCUCUUCCAAUAGAAAAGCUAAAAAGGAUCAGCGGAUGCCAGAAAUAUACCGGAAUUAGGAUAAGAUAAUCAUUAAUAAUUAAAAGAAAUAAAUUGAACCAAAGAAUAUUUUUAACUUAUGAUUUCCAUCAAAUUUGAGCUCUAAGAUCACAUUAUCCAAUCAAUUAUCUCCAAAAAUUUAAACUAAUGGAAAAAAGUCAAAAUGUAUAUCAAACUUAAUGGACUACUCAAAAAUAUGAGACAAGUAUCGCUCUUAUCUCUAAAAUGAGAUUCUUAUAUGUGGAUAUAUACAUAUAUUUCUAUUUUGAUAUGUAGAUUCAAAUCAUUAUUCUCCAACUAUGCGACUUUUUUAAGUAAAAAAUUACUGAUGAAUACAUUUUUUUCAUAGAUGUACAUAGAAUUUAAAUCAUUGCUCUCCAAUUAUUUUCGCUCUAGGUGGGGUAAUACUGACACUCUAUUAAAUUUCUAACCUCUCUCAAAUUAAUGAUAUUCUAACCACUUUCACUCAAUGGAACUCUCAUAAAUAAUUUGGAUGUCAAUAACUUGCUCGUAGAGGAAGAAAAAUCAAAUUAUAAAGGAGUGCUACUUGUACACUUUCGUGUAGGUGGAAAAACUCCGCACAUGAAAACAUGGGGCACUGACCAUGCCAAUAGAAUUAAUGACCAUUUAUA
rnacentral:lncRNA from 1 species